AUCCAGUCAAGGAGGGAACGCAGUGAAGAUGCGCAGAGUGGCCAAGAGGAGACCGAGAAGCUGCUGCAAGUGGACAGCACAGCAGCAGACAGCCCACAGCAAUACAGUGCAAAAUGUGCUCAAGAAGAGUGGUGUUUUUCAUCAACAUUCAGUUAAAACCACAGAUGUGGAACAAGAGGGUAUGGAGAGCUGACUGUGACUCUAUCAUCAAGAGAGUAAUGAAAAGACACAAAAGAAGACUUCCAGAUCUGCUUCAGAACGUGACAAGGACAAGGAGAUAAAUGAUCACAGCUUUAGCAAUAUGUUAUCCACUGGAGACAUAUUACCCAUGAGAUCCUCUCCAUGUCAUAUCCCUAGACCUAACACAGCACUGCGGAGUGAGAGAUAAAGUGCCUUUAGAGGCCAAGCAGAAAAUAUAAAUACAAAUAAUGAGAAGAAAUGCACAACUAUAGUUAGAAGUUGGUGAAAAUGAAGAGUCAACAUUUUUCCUUUCCCUGUUCUUGGAGCUCAGAUUUUUUCCCAUCAAACUCAGGAUGGGACUCUUCAGUGCACUUGGAAGUGACCAGGGAUUGCAGUUGCAAUGUACAAGUGAGACAGUUGCACAAGUGGCAGCCUACACACGGUGCUCCAAGUGGGGGAGGACACUGUUGGGCAGGUCCACCCUCUCUGUUUCCUUGAAGACUCAGCCUCCUCCUGAGACCCUGAUGAUGCUCAUACUUCCCGACCAUCCAGACCCCAUCAUAUCUUUCCCAAAUCCUCAGCCUGCACGGAACCAGUGGACCCAAGGUGUGGACAGCACAGGCUGCACUGCAGGUCCAGGAGAGAAGGAACAGCUCACACCACUGAAACUCUGAACGAUCAGAAACAGCUGGUUGGAAGCAUAUGAAACAUACCAGGCCGCUUGGUUGGCCUCCCACCAGCUGCAUGCAGAAUCAAGAAUUCCAGAACUGUGGGAAACACUCUUUUGGGGAAGAGCAAAGGCACACGUGGCCACUGCGCAGAGGGCUGGAUAGAAAGACAGUGAGGCAAAGAGGGAGGUGGCUGUCUCAGCCAAGGGAGAUGAGCUGCCACAUCCUGGCCCUGCAGGCAGGGCCUCCUUAGGGCUAUGUAGGUAACCAAGAGAGGCCAGAUAGAACAUGCUCUGAAAAGCCGGCUUUCCUCUGCUAGGCAGGUGGAACCUCACAGCCAGGUAGAAGGAGUUGCCUCACAUCAACCCCCGGGUGAACAGAUUUGCAAAAGAUUAGGGAGUGAUUUGUCUAGUUCCGGAUAAGAAUUAGAUCAAUGGCUACCCUGGGCUCACUGCAUUUCUGGCAAAGUCCAUCUAUAGGUGUGCAGUGAAAUACGAGACAAUAGAUUGAAAAUGGGGCAGAGAGGAGGGGGUGCAAACAGGUCAAAGUCAGAGUGUAAGCAGUGCUUUGGAAAGAGAUUAAAGAGCUUACUUCUUAGUUCUGAUUUCCACAAUCCGAAACUAUGCAACUGGACAAAUAUUUAUGGCUCUCUUCCAGCCCAGCGGAGCUCACCAAGGGAGCCUGCAGAGGAAGUCCCUGCACGCCAACCUGGCUGCCACUUCCAGCCACUCAGCAACGCACCUUCGCUCUGGGAGGGGAGGGAUUUCUGUGUUUCCCACAGAAUCUGCUGUUCAGCCAACGCAGCUACCUUCUGGUUCUUGGUUAUUCAUAUCUGCCACCACCUCGUGCCCAGUUCCCUUGAAGCUGCCUCAGCCUGUGCGCAGAGCUGCAGGGACCAUUAGGCUCUGGGGCAAGGAGAUGCUGUUGAUUCUGGUUGCCCCCACACAGGGUUGAGUCACCACAAACUCACCUUUGCCUGUGGGGUAUUGGCUGCCACCUACAGCUCUGGGCCUGAGAAUAUUUCUUAUCAGAGCAUCACUUCCCCCUCUCGGAUUCCUGCAGCUGUGUCAACCUGGAAACGUGGGAAAAUCAGCCACUGGACUCUGGCCCGAUGGGAGAAGUUCAGAGUGAAGCUUCCACCCAAGACUGUUCAAAGGGACACCGAGUAAUGACUCAAGAAAACCAUCCUGGAUGUUGCUGUCUGCCCACUCUGGUUUUCUUCUCCUUGCCUGUGGAAUGAACUAUAUCACCUGUGCUGAGACACAGAACAACCCAGACACCACCAACAGCCAAAAGGUGGAUUGUGGCAUCACUGUGGGAGCAAUUGUUUGGUCCUUUGUAUUGGGGACUCUACUAGGCAUAGUUUAAUUGAUACCUGUCUAUUUCUGAAAAGUCGCGUGGUGAUGGGCCAUUGAAGGGAAGAGCUGUUUUGCACAUAUAAGCUUGCCUGGUUGUACAGUGCCCAGUGAUGAAUUAAAGGUAGAAGACCUGGCAUAUCUCCUGUGUUCGACUCUAGUGUGGAAUUUCUUCUACUGGAAACUGCCAGAUCACUUCAACAAGAGGCCAUUCAGUUAAGACAAUAAAGACUUUGAAUACAACUGAAUGUGAGAAAAAGGAUAAGAUGACAUUUUCUUCAAAAAUUCAUUCUCCAAAACCAUACUGUCGGUCCUUAUGGUGGCAAAGAGGUCAUGGGCUCAGGAGAUUGACAGGAGCAUUUAGCUGCUCCCAAUGACAAAAGCAAUCAGCCUGUUUCAUCUCCCUUGAAGAAGUUCAAGAAUGAGACUUCCAGCUGAGUGUGGUGAUACAUAACUGUAAUUUCAGCCCUCUGGGAGGCUGA